rnacentral:rRNA from 1 species
UNUGAUAANUCAGAUGUGAAAGGUACCGGCUCAACCGGUGACGUGCAUUUGAAACUNUCAGNNNGAGUAUNGNAGAGGCAAGUGGAAUUCCUAGUGUAGCGGUGAAAUGCGUAGAUAUUAGGAGGAACACCAGUGGCGNGGNCGGCUUGCUGGACAAAUACUGACGNUGAGGUGCGAAAGCGUGGGGAGCGAACAGGAUUAGAUACCCUGGUAGUNCACGCCGUAAACGAUGANUGCUAGGUGUUGGGGAAACUCAGUGCCGCAGUUAACACAAUAAGCAUUCCGCCUGGGGAGUACGACCGCAAGGUUGAAACUCAAAUGAAUCGACGGGGGCCCGCACAAGCGGUGGAGCAUGUGGUUUAAUUCGAUGCAACGCGAAGAACCUUACCUGGUCUUGACAUCCACGGAAGUUUUCAGAGAUGAGAAUGUGCCUUCGGGAACCGUGAGACAGGUGCUGCAUGGCUGUCGUCAGCUCGUGUUGUGAAAUGUUGGGUUAAGUCCCGCAACGAGCGCAACCCUUAUCCUUUGUUGCCAGCGGUCCGGCCGGGAACUCAAAGGAGACUGCCAGUGAUAAACUGGAGGAAGGUGGGGAUGACGUCAAGUCAUCAUGGCCCUUACGACCAGGGCUACACACGUGCUACAAUGGCGCAUACAAAGAGAAGCGACCUCGCGAGAGCAAGCGGACCUCAUAAAGUGCGUCGUAGUCCGGAUUGGAGUCUGCAACUCGACUCCAUGAAGUCGGAAUCGCUAGUAAUCGUGGAUCAGAAUGCCACGGUGAAUACGUUCCCGGGCCUUGUACACACCGCCCGUCACACCAUGGGAGUGGGUUGCAAAAGAAGUAGGUAGCUUAACCUUCGGGAGGGCGCUUACCACUUUGUGAUUCAUGACUGGGGUGAAGUCGUAACAAGGUAGAAUCACUAGUGAAUUCGCGGCCGCCUGCAGGUCGACCAUAUGGGAGAGCUCCCNA